ACGGAAGGCAGCAGUGGGGAAUAUUGCACAAUGGGGGAAACCCUGAUGCAGCGACGCCGCGUGAGUGAAGAAGUUAUUCGUAAUGUAAAGCUCUAUCAGCAGGGAAGAAAAUGACGGUACCUGACUAAGAAGCCCCGGCUAACUACGUGCCAGCAGCCGCGGUAAUACGCAGGGGGCAAGCGUUAUCCGGAUUUACUGGGUGUAAAGGGAGCGUAGACGGUCUAGCAAGUCUGAUGUGAAAGGCAGGGGCUCAACUCCUGGACUGCAUUGGAAACUGUUAGUCUUGAGUGUCGGAGAGGUAAGCGGAAUUCCUAGUGUAGCGGUGAAAUGCGUAGAUAUUAGGAGGAACACCAGUGGCGAAGGCGGCUUACUGGACGAUAACUGACGUUGAGGCUCGAAAGCGUGGGGAGCAAACAGGAUUAGAUACCCUGGUA
rnacentral:rRNA from 1 species